GAUUGACACUAAAAAGUGUACAUUUAAUAAGGAUAAAAUUAUUAGUUUUUCACUUAUUGUGUCGAUUAAUGCGUUCAUUAUUUCUAAAUUAUUUUAAUACUCCCCAAAUAUAUUUUAUGUUAAAUUAAUUCGUAAUUUGUUAAUUUUUAUCUUGUAAAUAUUUUUCAGGAAUAAAGAUGGAAUUGGAAUUGAAAGCGGGAGCAAAGAAGAAC
rnacentral:lncRNA from 1 species